rnacentral:rRNA from 1 species
UGGGGAAUAUUGGACAAUGGGCGAAAGCCUGAUCCAGCCAUGCCGCGUGAGUGAUGAAGGCCUUAGGGUUGUAAAGCUCUUUAGCCAGGGAAGAUAAUGACGGUACCUGGAAAAUAAGCUCCGGCUAACUUCGUGCCAGCAGCCGCGGUGAUACGAAGGGAGCUAGCGUUGUUCGGAAUUACUGGGCGUAAAGCGCGCGUAGGUGGUUAUGCAAGUCAGAGGUGAAAUCCCACGGCUCAACCGUGGAACUGCCUUUGAAACUGCAUAGCUAGAGUUCGGAAGAGGAGAGUGGAAUUCCUAAUGUAGAGGUGAAAUUCGUAGAUAUUAGGAGGAACACCAGUGGCGAAGGCGGCUCUCUGGUCCGAUACUGACACUGAGGCGCGAAAGCGUGGGUAGCAAACAGG